rnacentral:rRNA from 1 species
AGAGUUUGAUCCUGGCUCAGGAUGAACGCUAGCGGCAGGCUUAAUACAUGCAAGUCGAGGGGUAACAUGGGUAGCAAUACCUGAUGACGACCGGCAAACGGGUGCGGAACACGUACGCAACCUUCCCAUAACUGGUGAAUAGCCUUUCGAAAGAGAGAUUAAUACACCGUAACAUAACGAAGAGGCAUCUCUUUGUUAUUAUAGGCUUCGGCCGGUUUUGGAUGGGCGUGCGCCUGAUUAGGUAGUUGGCGGGGUAACGGCCCACCAAGCCUACGAUCAGUAACUGGUGUGAGAGCACGACCAGUCACACGGGCACUGAGACACGGGCCCGACUCCUACGGGAGGCAGCAGUAAGGAAUAUUGGUCAAUGGACGAAAGUCUGAACCAGCCAUGCCGCGUGAAGGAUUAAGGCCCUCUGGGUUGUAAACUUCUUUUAUCUGGGACGAAAAAAGGGUAUUCUUACUCACUUGACGGUACCAGAGGAAUAAGCACCGGCUAACUCCGUGCCAGCAGCCGCGGUAAUACGGAGGGUGCAAGCGUUAUCCGGAUUCACUGGGUUUAAAGGGUGCGUAGGUGGGUUUGUAAGUCAGUGGUGAAAUCUCCGGGCUUAACUCGGAAACUGCCAUUGAUACUAUAGAUCUUGAAUUAUCUGGAGGUGAGCGGAAUAUGUCAUGUAGCGGUGAAAUGCUUAGAUAUGACAUAGAACACCAAUUGCGAAGGCAGCUCACUACGGAUAUAUUGACACUGAGGCACGAAAGCGUGGGGAUCAAAACAGGAUUAGAUACCCUGGUAGUCCACGC